rnacentral:lncRNA from 1 species
AGUGAAGAAUGAGGGCCGAGUUACAUCAGGAUUUAAAAUCCAAAAAUUGUGUAACCAUAAUUAAAAAGAAUGAGGGCGUGUUCUGGUGAGGGGGACCAGAACAUGUCUGUUAAUCGUGAGCCAUUCUGAGUAUUGGUUUCUCUACUUCGAGGAGUUGAUGGUGGGAUUAAUUUAUUUAGAGCCUGAGCCCCACAGCUCUCUCCUGUGUCCACACUUUGUGGAACUCAGCUGUGCCACCUGCCAGUCGCCCCCCAACCUUCUCUCUCCAGCUGUUCUAAACGUUGGUUGUCCUCCCCCAGCUGUGAUGCCCUCUUACGUUACUGGGCCUCUUUCCUUGGGGGCAUUUGGAGGGUUGAUAUGUGGAGGAGUCCCCUCCCCGCACAACACACGCUGGGCCGGUUCGCUUUCCAGCCGGGGCUUUCUCUACCGCCGGCGCCUUCCACCCCGAUCACCGCCCAGAGCGGCCGUUCCCUGAGGAAGAUCCUGGAUCCGACGGGGACGGCUUCCUAAAGCCGGGGCUGCAGCCCCCUUCCCAGCUGGACGGCCUCAAACAUUUUUUGCACCAGGUAAGCGAGGGCCCACCCAUCCUACCUCGUUUCCUUCUCCCCUUCCUCAUUCUCUCUCCCCUCCAGGAGUCCAGGACUGUGGCUGCAGCCGCCUUUCGGGACUGACAGCUUCUCUCGCGGUCUGUCUAGAUUCCCAUCGCCUAAGUUCUGGAAGGCGGCCAUCCCUGGCCCUUUCUUCCCUCUGCCUCCCUCACAUUCCCAGGGCUCUUUCUUCACUGGUCCUCAGGGAGCCUCACUGUCUUGUCCCCGCAGCUGCUGGAGAUAGUACCGCAGAGCAGCGAGGCCCCCUCUGUUGAGCUGUUGCCCCCGAAGUCUGGUGAGUGGGGAAGGUGGGAGCCACGGAGGUGCGAGAGCCUAACGGAGGCGAGGCGAUAGGGCUUUCUCGGCUCCUGCUCUGUUUCCCGAGCCCUGCGUCUCUUGCCUUUCGCUAGGCCCCCUGACUGUCCCGUCUUGGGAGGAGGCCCCGCAGGUGCCACACCUCCCGCCCCCUGUUCAUAAGACUAAAGUGCCCCUGGCCAUGGCGUCCAGUCUCUUCCGGGCUCACGAGCUUCCCUCAAGCCAUUCACAGAGCAGCGGCCUCCGGGCGGGCUCCCCAGAGCGCGAUGAGCGGCCGG